rnacentral:rRNA from 1 species
GACAGAGGUGCCGAGCGUUAGGCGGAAUCACUGGGCUUAAAGCGUGUGUAGGCGGAUCGUUAAGUACCUUGUGAAAUCCCCCGGCUCAACCGGGGAACUGCUGGGUAUACUGGCGAUCUUGAGCAAUCUAGGGGCAGAUGGAACAAGUGGUGGAGCGGUGAAAUGCGUAGAUAUCACUUGGAACGCCAAAGGUGAAAACAGUCUGCUGGGGAUUUGCUGACGCUGAGACACGAAAGCCAGGGGAGCGAACGGG